rnacentral:rRNA from 1 species
CAACCGAGCGCAACCCCUAUCCUCAGUUGCCAUCAUUAAGUUGGGCACUCUGUGGAGACUGCCGGUGUCAAACCGGAGGAAGGUGGGGAUGACGUCAAGUCCUCAUGGCCCUUAUGACCAGGGCUACACACGUGCUACAAUGGCCGGUACAAAGAGUUGCGAUACCGCGAGGUGGAGCUAAUCUCAUAAAGCCGGUCUCAGUUCGGAUUGGAGUCUGCAACUCGACUCCAUGAAGUUGGAAUCGCUAGUAAUCGCGGAUCAGCAUGCCGCGGUGAAUACGUUCCCGGGCCUU